GUGUAAAAGAACCCCGUGCUUGGGCCAUCUAAACCCACCUCGUUGGAAGACUCCUGUUGGCCUUCGAUUGUAGGGGAGGAUACGUAGUUACACACCUAGAUAUGACACUCUUUUGCUUUGACUUUCCAGGUCCCAGCGAACCCGAGUAUCUUAACCCUAGUUUACUGGCCACUAAAACUUUCAAGUUUACGGGCGUGGGGUGGAACGAACCCCAGGCCAAAAUAUUGAAAGAAAAAAACUUAUGGACCCCAGACCUGUAAACUUGAAAGUUUUUCUAAAAGUAGUGAUAAAAUAAAAACUCAAAUCCUAAGAAGGCCAAAAACGCCAAAAACGAUAGAAAAGACUAAACUUGGAAGGUACUCGAGCUCCCAGGCCAAACUAUUGAAAGAAAAAAAACUUAUGGACAUUGAAAGUGGCUGUGGGGUGCGAUCCACCUCAGACCUGUAAAUUAGGGUUAAGGUCCCCUUCAUGAGGUUAUGUUUCCAGCACCCUCGUUUAGUUUCACCUAUGAGGGUAGGAAUUGCGCUGGAGGAUACGGAUACGGGUGGCGUAUAGAAACCUGGACGUGAGAUCAUCUGUUCUCGUUAACCCGACUACUAAGAAUAGCAUGUUUGAGUGUCACUGAAUAACAUUAGUAGAGUAGUUAUGUAGCUUAAUGCAAGACAGAGGUGCUCCUUGUGCUUCUUGUACUUCAGGGUUACUGUUAUUCGAGGCCUAGAUGGUUCUGACGAAUUGGGGUCGCAUCAACAGCCGUCUGUGUGACUUAACGGCAAUCGUGGUAUGACUGCCGGAACCGCCGGCUUUACAUGCCUUCUGAAGCAUGGUAGUCCGAAGAUCUCGUGUACUCCUAAAAACUGGCAAGUUGUGGGAUUCGAACUCACAAUCUGUGAGGUUGGAAUCCUAGUCUUAAACCGCUACACCAAACUGACUAGAC